rnacentral:lncRNA from 1 species
CUGUACUUGCUUACCUAGCUUUGUGAAACAAAGAAGGGAAGAUGUUGAGGAACAUUAAGUUUACCCUGCCCCCAUGGCUCCCUUGUGGAGGAUGCUUUGUAAUUAGCGAAUUGUUUAUCAAAAAUAUCGUGUAAAACCUGGGCCCUUAUUGGAUGCUUGGGAGAUAAUAAAUAUAAAGGUAAAAAGACCUGGUCUCCAUUCUCAAGAAGUUUACAAUUCAAUAAAAGUCCAGGUAUUUUUAUUAAAUUAUUCUCUGAGACGGAAACAGUUACAGGAAUUUUGAGUCAGGAGACCUGGGUUCAGUAUAGACUUCACUUCUUCUCUAUGAUGUUGGACAAGUAUUAAAGCCCCAGCUCCUUUAUUUUUAAAGUGAAAGUAAUGCUGUUACAGACCCUAUUCUGCUUCCCAUGUGAGGAUUAACUGAGGUAACUGUUACAGUUCAAAUGAUAUGGAGGCCAAGGCCCUGGCAAGCCCACAAACAAUCUGCCUGAAGCAACUUGGAAGGUAGAGCCUUGAAUGCUGCCCGUCAAAUUGUGUGGAGCCCGGUAGAAGACAGAAAAAUGGGGAUCAAGCCAUCGUAGACAAAGGAAUUCUCAUCACAAAUGAAGUUCAAGAGCUUAGAUCUUCAGUAUUGAGAAGGAAUCAUAUUACAGAAGAGAAGGUAAGGAGCAGAUCGG